GGCUCCGGUGGCCUAGUGAUUAGAGCGUCCGCCUCAGAUGCGAGAGGUCACGGGUUCGAUCCCCAGUCGAGUCA